rnacentral:rRNA from 1 species
CCUACGGGAGGCAGCAGUGAGGAAUAUUGGUCAAUGGGCGGAAGCCUGAACCAGCCAAGUCGCGUGAGGGAUUAAGGCCCUUCGGGGCGUAAACCUCUUUUGCCGGGGAGCAGUGGGCCGGACGCGUCCGGACCGGGAGAGUACCCGGAGAAAAAGCAUCGGCUAACUCCGUGCCAGCAGCCGCGGUAAUACGGAGGAUGCGAGCGUUAUCCGGAUUUAGGGGGUUUAGAGGGUGCGUAGGCGGGCAUUAAAGCCGGCGGUAAAAUGUCGGGGCUCAACGCCGGCCUGCCGUCGGAACUGGGUGGCUUGAGUGGGCCAGCAGUAUGAGGAAUGCGUGGUGUAGCGGUGAAAUGCAUAGAUAUCACGCAGAACCCCGAUUGCGAAGGCAGCAUACCGGCGCCCUACUGACGCUGAGGCACGAAAGUGCGGGUAUCGAACAGGAUUAGAUACCCUUGUAGUC